CCAGCCGGCGUCCCAGGCGUCGCGGAACCGCCCUCUUGUGUGAGUGGCGUUGGGAUCCCGCGCUGGUUUUCCUGGCGGCCAGGCCGUG
rnacentral:pre_miRNA from 1 species